CGAGGAAGCGACCUUAUCGAGCCCCACCACUUUUCCUUUUUGUCUCAAGCAAUCUCCCCUCUCCUCUCCUCAUUUUCUCUUCCCCGUGUAGGGUUGCCGCCGCCGCCGCCCCAUCGGCACAUCCAAGCUCCUCCGGCGCCCGCUCCUUCGUCGGGAGGACGAGACCAUGGUGGCGACGGACGGUGAGGAGGGGGCGUCCAGGUCGACGAGAAGCUGCGAUUUAGCGCCGCCGCCGCCUCUCAGCACGCAACCUCUCCUUUCCUAUCUCCUCUGCAGCUCCCCUGUUCCUCCGGUGGCAUCGAACCCCAUAGUCAUCUCCUACUUCCCUCUCUUAUUCCCCUGUGUGUCCGCGAGAUGGGCCAAGCCGGCACACACGGCAAAGGGCGGCUGCGGCUACGGCUCCGACGCAGGCGCCGUGGAGGUGGAGGCGAAGCUGCGGCGGCUAAUGGUGGACGGCCGCGUCAGCGACGUCAGCCUCGACGACUCGACGAGUUCCAUCACCUUCACUGCUACGCCAGGAGGCUGGUCUAGAUUAGGUUCGUUUCUUGGAGUAUGACAAGCUGAUGGUGAUCCUCACUCUGACAAAAUAACGAAACAUUCAGUGCUGGAGCUUCCAAAGGGAUCUUCAUCCAGUGAUGAAGAUGGAUCCUGCAUAGAAAAUGAUUCCGUUGAAGCAUUUGAAGCUGAGUUACACAAUUUUGACUUGUGACAUCAAGGAAGGAGAUUAUUAUGUGUAUGACAAAGAUGAAGGCUGCUAUAUAUGUGAAUGGCGAUGAAGGGUCUGAUUAUGAAUUUGAUGAAAGUGACUUCAAUCAGCAAAUUGACUUGAAUCGGCAGCUGGAUUAUAAAUUCGACAAUGUAGAUUGGGGAUGCUCUGACAGCAAGGUUGUUCCACAUAUAUGGUCUAAUCAAAUAUUUGUGGUAAGGAUGAACGUCAGUAUGAAGAGAAAACAUAUAUCUGAACUAAAAUUACAAGCUACAAAGGCUUUUAAGAGAAAUGAAUAUAUCACAGCCGGACAGAUGUAUUCAGAUGUAAGUCAUCACACAUCUUUAUUCCAUAAAUAGGAUUUAGAGUUUACAGGAAAUGUUGUCCCGUGGUGCAAAAAGUGCAUAACUUCUAUUAGGCUAGCUCUAGGACAAAGUGACAAACAUAUGUGAUAUUUCAAGUGAGAACUUUUUUCUUCUGAAUCAUUAACUGAUGGUCUGUAAGGAAUUAUGCCAUUAGCUUUUUGUAAAGGUGCAAACAAAUCAGUCGAUCAGAAACACCAUGAUGAUGUGGACAUGUCUGUUGUCCUAAAGCUGGACUAGAUGUUCGUAGUAUUGGGAAAAAAGGAUGUUUCUUAACAGUAUUAUUAUGUCCCAUUAGUGUGAAUGCUAACUAAAGAGUUGUUGCCUAUAUGACAUAUUAUUUCAUUUAUUAUAGGAAUUUCAACAAAAUAAUCGAUAUUAAUUAUUCCCAUUGAGACAACAAGGAAUAGGUGUUCAAGGCUUAGCAGACACUUUCAUUUUACUUGGCAUGCUAUUUGCUU